GGCGAGGUGGCCUAGGGGUUAUGGCGUUAGCCCAGAUAGCUAAAGACGCUGGUUCGAAUCCAGCCUUCACCA